rfam:Neotoma lepida isolate 417 scaffold_10225, whole genome shotgun sequence.
UGGUGCCCAAAGUUGAGGCUUGAGAACAUGGAUGAUCGGUGAACGUCGCACACCAAAGCAGGCCUGCAUAUCAGUUGGACCACUGUGAAGAACGCUCCAUGAGCAUAGGUCCAGUCAAGUGAUCGCCACAGGGACGCCCGACCAUGAGACAGAUCCAGGGAGUUGAUUUGUGCCAACACAAGGUAAGUUUACCAUGGGACAAGCAUUUAGUAAGCAGGAUUUAUUUAUUUCAGGACUUAAAAAGUCUCUCAAGACACGAGGAACAANGGUUAAAAAGAAAGAUUUUAAAAAGUUUCUUGAUUAUAUUGGGGACUUUUGUCGCU